rnacentral:rRNA from 1 species
GUGCCAGCAGCCGCGGUAAUACGAAGGUGGCGAGCGUUGUUCGGAAUCACUGGGCUUAAAGAGCACGUAGGCGGACUGCCAAGCGUCUUGUGAAAUCCCCCGGCUCAACCGGGGAAUUGCUGGGCGAACUGGUAGUCUUGAGGCAAGUAGGGGCAGAUGGAACUCUUGGUGGAGCGGUGGAAUGCGUAGAUAUCAAGAGGAACGCCAGAGGCGAAGCCGAUCUGCUGGGCUUGACCUGACGCUGAGGUGCGAAAGCCAGGGGAGCAAACGGGAUUAGAUACCCCGGUAGUCCUGGCCAUAAACGAUGUCCACUAGAUCGGUGAACUUCUGACAGUGUGCCGGUCGAAACAAAAGCGUUAAGUGGACCGCCUGGGGAGUACGGUCGCAAGGCUAAAACUCAAAGGAAUUGACGGGGGCUCACACAAGCGGUGGAGCAUGUUGCUUAAUUCGAUGCAACGCGAAGAACCUUAUCCUGGGCUUGACAUGCUUGGAUGCCCAUCUGGAAACAGAGUAGGCUGCCCUUCGGGGUGAAACUUGCACAGGUGCUGCAUGGCUGUCGUCAGCUCGUGUCGUGAGAUGUUGGGUUAAGUCCCGUAACGAGCGAAACCCUUGUCGUUAGUUGCCAGCGCGUAAUGGCGGGGACUCUAGCGAGACUGCCGGUGUUAAACCGGAGGAAGGUGGGGAUGACGUCAAGUCCUCAUGGCCUUUAUGCCCAGGGCUGCAAACGUGCUACAAUGGCGAGGACAAACCGACGCAAAGCCGCGAGGUCGAGCAAAUCGGAGAAACCUUGCCCCAGUUCGGAUUGGAGUCUGCAACUCGACUCCAUGAAGUCGGAAUCGCUAGUA